CAAACCUGCCUUAAGGAUGGGGAUAACAGACGGAAACGACUGCUAAUACCGAAUACGUUCUAAGCAUCGCAUGGUGCAUAGAAGAAAGGGUGGCCUCUACAAGAAAGCUAUCGCCUUAAGAGGGGUUUGCGACUGAUUAGGUAGUUGGUGAGGUAACGGCUCACCAAGCCGACGAUCAGUAGCCGGUCUGAGAGGAUGAACGGCCACACUGGAACUGAGACACGGUCCAG
rnacentral:rRNA from 1 species